rnacentral:snRNA from 1 species
GAGCCGUGUGGUUAAGACAAAACGAACUAUUCUUUUGCCUUUUACUAAAGAAUACCGUGUUUUAAGAUUGACGGAGGCGACUAGAUGGUAAAUUUGUUCUUGCAAACAA